AACAAACGCUGGCGGCGUGCCUAAUACAUGCAAGUCGAACGGGGAAAGCUUUCGGGUGAGUACUAGUGGCGCACGGGUGAGGAACGCGUGGAUAAUCUGCCUUAGAGUGGGGGAUAACUAGUCGAAAGAUUAGCUAAUACCGCAUAAGACCACAGGAGCUGCGGCUCAAGGGGUCAAAGGUUUUUCGCUCUAAGAUGAGUCCGCGUAAGAUUAGCUAGUUGGUGAGGUAACGGCUCACCAAGGCGACGAUCUUUAACUGGUCUGAGAGGAUGAUCAGUCACACUGGAACUGGGACACGGUCCAGACUCCUACGGGAGGCAGCAGUAGGGAACAUUGCACAAUGGAGGAAACUCGGAUGCAGCGACGCCGCGUGAGUGAUGAAGGCCUUCGGGUCGUAAAGCUCUGUCGCAGGGGAAUAACACAAUGAAGGUACCCUGUAAGAAAGGAUCGGCUAACUUCGUGCCAGCAGCCGCCGUAACAC
rnacentral:rRNA from 1 species